GUGAGAAAAUCACUUCGGCAGCACAAAUACUAAGACUAGGAUGACACAGAGAUAAGCAUGGUCCCUGUGCAAGGAUGACAUGCAAAUUCAUAAAGAAAGUCAUUGUUUUU